CACCAUGAAUCCAAAAUAUCAACCCUCAAGAAAUCCUUAUCCCAAGUUUUGUCCCGAUACUACCCCUUCGCAGGGAUGCUGAGAGACCAACUUUCCAUCGAAUGCAACGACCAAGGAGUGUCCUUUCUCGUCACCAGCUUCGCAUGCAAUCUUUCAUCGAUCCUCCACAACCCCAACCACGCAUCGUUCCACCGUCUGUUCCCAGAUCAACUACAGUGGAAGCCCAUGGAACCAACUUCAACCAUUGUAGCCAUUCAGAUAAACUGUUUUGCAUGCGGAGGAAUCGUAAUAAGCGUC
rnacentral:lncRNA from 1 species